rnacentral:tRNA from 1 species
CAGUGAAUAGUUUUAAAAAAAACAUUAAUUUUGGAGAUUAAAAAUAAGUAAUACUUUUUACUGA